ACUAGCCAUAAAUAUAAGCAAACUCUUACUUUUUUGCUCGCCAGAAAAUUACAAGCGAAAGCAUAAAAUUCAAAGGACUUGACGGUGUUCCAUAUCAACCUAGAGGAGCCUGUCCUAUAAUCGAUAAUCCACGCUAAACCUCACCCAUUCUAGCCAACCAGCCUAUAUACCGCCGUCGCCAGCCCAUCUCAUGACAGAAUCAAAAUGAGCAAAAUUACCAAACCGCAAGAACGUCAGGUCAAGGUGUAGCAAAUGAAUGGGUUGAGAUGGGCUACAUUUUUUAUUUUAAAAAAUACCUCAAGUAACAUGAAACAUGGACUAUUAAGGUGGAUUUAGCAGUAAAUAUGGACAAGAUAUGACACAUUGAAACAAGCUCUGGAACGCGUACAC
rnacentral:rRNA from 1 species